AGGAUGCUGUGUCCUGCAAUCAUGUGUACUGUGCUACAGACGCAUGUGGAGGUCAACCCAAAAUGGGCACAGUCUCACCGCAGAAGAGUGAAAGAGGCUUUAAAACUUAAGGCCACCGCUAUGGAGGGAGCGGCUGCAACCGCCACCAGCGCAGCAGCUGCCCAACAAGCUCGACCCUCCGAUUCCUCCACCUCCAGCUCCUCCACCUCCUCUUCAAGUGACUCGGAGCCAGAGAGGAAGAGAAAGAAGAGGAACAAGAGAGACAGGAAAAAGAGAGAGAAGAAGAGGAAGAAGGACAAGCACAGACAGACAGAAGGAGAGAACUUGCGAACACUUGCACCCUAUUGCGGAGCUCGCCUUCAGGUGGGCACAUGCAGAAAAUUGAACAGCUUAAUGAUUAACAACGAUUUUUAGAACCUGAACAAGGACUGCCUGCUUACCUUUUUUUUUCCAUCUUUUUGAAAUAUCUAGCAGGUCCCCCUUUCUUUUCAGUUGCUGUAUCUCCUGCAUGUGCCCACCUGAUUCACACUGUGUGGCACAGUCCUUGGUGAAGUUAAAUAAACUAUCACCAGGAAGAUAUGUCUCCCUAAUUUCCAUGUAAUCAUCAGGGCUGACCGUUGCAAGCUCCGCAAUAGGGGCUUGGUUGCAGAUGGUAUUUCUGUCGAUCGGAAUUUUUUCGUACGCCGCCGUCUUGCUUAAACCCUUUCUCACCAGCCUGACCACCUCCAUAUAGCGGGGGGCUAGCGGGAGCUGUCUGUAAAAUAUCUGUAUUUUGUUUGUAUAUUUUACAGUAUCACCGCGGAAGGGCCUCUGCUACAUGGCGAAGAAAAAAAUAGGUCUUUGGCAUUUUAGGGAUAAGAAACGAGCGGAGGUGUCCCAUCCUGUGGCUGGUGAGGAGAAGAGGACGGGAGAAUCUUAUCCCAAUUGUGGUCAAGCAUGUGCGUCCAGGAGCCACCCUGAUCAGUGAUGAGUGGCGAGCAUACAGAGGCGCAUUAGCUGCCAUUGGCUACACUCACUUCACUGUUAACCAUUCAAGAUGGUUUGUUGAUCCAAACAGUGGGGCCCAUACACAGCACCUUGAGAGGGGUUACUGCCACACUUAUUGAAUGUGUGUGUGUGUGUGUGUGUGUGUGUGUGUGUUACAAUAUGUGAAGGCCUAUGACUUGCUUUCAUAAUAAUAAAAAGUUAUUGCUCUCUG